GACGAACGCUGGCGGCGUGCUUAACACAUGCAAGUCGAACGGAAAGGCCCUGCUUUUGUGGGGUGCUCGAGUGGCGAACGGGUGAGUAACACGUGAGUAACCUGCCCUUGACUUUGGGAUAACUUCAGGAAACUGGGGCUAAUACCGGAUAGGAGCUCCUGCUGCAUGGUGGGGGUUGGAAAGUUUCGGCGGUUGGGGAUGGACUCGCGGCUUAUCAGCUUGUUGGUGGGGUAGUGGCUUACCAAGGCUUUGACGGGUAGCCGGCCUGAGAGGGUGACCGGCCACAUUGGGACUGAGAUACGGCCCAGACUCCUACGGGAGGCAGCAGUGGGGAAUAUUGCACAAUGGGCGGAAGCCUGAUGCAGCAACGCCGCGUGCGGGAUGACGGCCUUCGGGUUGUAAACCGCUUUCGCCUGUGACGAAGUGUGAGUGACGGUAAUGGGGAAAGAAGCACCGGCGAACUACGU
rnacentral:rRNA from 1 species